rnacentral:rRNA from 1 species
AUGGCCCAAGAACACGCUCAUUCUUCAGCCGUAGAGAGACUUUUGAAUUGUGAGGUACCAUUACGAGCUCAAUAUAUAAGAGUGCUAUUCUGUGAAAUAACUCGAAUUUCAAAUCAUUCACUUGCUUCAACUACUCAUGCUAUGGAUGUGGGAGCAUCAACUCCGUUCCUUUGGGCUUUUGAGGAGCGGGAUAAAUUGUUGGAAUUCUAUGAAAGAGUCCCGGGAGCCAGGAUGCAUGCCAGUUUCAUACGACCUGGUGGAGUGGCACAAGAUCUGCCUCUUGGCUUAUGUCGAGAUAUUGAUUCCUCCACACAACAAUUUGCUUCUCGUAUCGACGAAUUAGAAGAGAUGUCAACCGGCAACCGUAUCUGGAAACAACGAUUAGUGGAUAUUGGUACUGUCACUGCACAGCAAGCAAAGGAUUGGGGAUUCAGUCGUGUAAUGUUAAGAGGUCGUGCGACAUGA